rnacentral:lncRNA from 1 species
ACUGUGCACUCCUAGUGUAAAUGGCAGAGACAGCCACAGAAUUUUACCUUCUCACUGGGAAAUUAUUUUCUCUCUGUGUGUUUUGAUGGUGACAGGCUUUCUUCCAACUUGCAGUUCUUCCUCCUUGGGGGAAUAGAAAUGUAAGGAAUAAUUUCUGAUUUGAUAUUUCCUGUUCUACUCACGUACCACUGCAGUUUAAAGACUAUCUACCAAACUAGCUAACAACCCACUUUCAAAACUAUACUUUGGGAAAACAGAAGGCCAAGGGGAAGAGAAGAAAAAGUCUCUUCAAAGAAUACAUUUGAGGAUAUACGUGAAGUAUUUGGAAGAAGAGAUGAUUUGCUAAUUCUACUGGGCACAUAACAUUGUAUAAAGCUACAUUGAUGUGAUCUAGGUAAGAUAAUUUUUUUUUUUUAAUUUUUUUUAUUGGUUGUUCAAAACAUUGGGUAAGAUAAUUCUUAAGCUAAAAUUCUAUCAUUAUGCUGUAUAAGGCAGUGUCAUUGUAAGCGAAGAUGUUUGCCUAUCACACAUAAUUCAAAAUAGUCUUGUUCAUCACUAAUUCUGGAAAAGAAUGAUGAGUACUUGUUUACUGGCUAAAAUGACAUAGCCAUGGGAAAGCGAUGUAAACAUGCUCCAGAAUUCACAGAUUUAUCAGCGUCCAAAUAAAAAUUCUCAAUUUUUUUUUAAAACUCAGGGAAUUAACAUGAUUUUGAAUUUUGUGCCAAAAUGAGAUAUUAUUAAUAAUGUUAUCAUAGUACUUUAAAUCUGUAAAUCUCAAAAUUUUAGGUGAUAGAAUGAUGAUGCAGAGGAGUGAAUAUGAAUCAGUUUGAAAUCAAAGGUAAUAAAAAUGGCACAUGGUACUCUGUUCAAGGGAUGGCCAAAUACAUUUUGGUCUUCUUGGUAUAACCAGGUUAAAACCCAUCCAAUAGUUACAGACUCUAGAACCAAAAGGAAACAAAAACUGAGAUUUGCCUAACCUAAACUUCUCUCCCACACAUUGUCUGCAAAUAUCUGGGCUCAAACACACAGGAAUAAAGGACUGUCCAGUGCAAAUAGUCAAGUCCAUUGAUUUCCUUCAUCUUGCUCCAUUUAAUAUGAUCUUCCUCCUGUGUUCUCCAUCUGAGUAAAAAGAACAUUCAUCACCCAGAAACCCCAGCUUCCCUGGAUCCCCUCACCUAACCCACCUCCCAGUCCUGAGAUUCUACCUCGCAAACCUUCUCUCCAUCUCUUCUACUGUCCUUCCAUCCCAGCCCACAUGCUGUCCCAUUCUGGUCUCCUGGGUCCCUUCUCAUGACCCCUUUUCACCUAUCUUCCCUGUAGCAAGAGGAAUUUUUAGAAUGUAAAUCAGCUCAUGUUACACCCCUGCUUAACAUCUGUCCAUAUGCCCUCGUAAGAACGUCCAAGAUCUUUAAUAUGGUCUUCAUGUCCCUGCAAUCUCAGGCUCUGAUGGCUCCCUCAGAGUCAUUGCCCACCGUGGUGGCCUCUCAUGAAUGUCCCCCAUCCUGGGCUUUUUGAGUUCCUGAAGUCACCAAACACUCCUCUACCUGGGGACAUUCAAAUUGCUGCUCCCUGUCCCUGGAAUGAUCUUGCUUGGCUAAAGCCUGCCUGUCCUUCAGGUUUCCACUGAAAUAUAUCUCAGAGCAGUUACUUUUCCUUUGUAGUCACCACAGUUGACAUUACAUGUACAUGUGUGUCCACAUGCAUGUGUGUAUAAUUAACGUAGUUAAAUUUUAUUUAUAUACAUAUGCACACACACAGAUGUAUAAUUUGUGUAGUGUGUGACAACAGUGUAUCUGCUUCAUCUUACUGUUGUAUUUACCCAGCAUAGAACAUGCUUCCUGCUCUUUUUGAGUACUUAAUACAUUGUAUCAAAUCAGAUGUAAUUAUUAGAAAUGUAUUCAUAUCUAAUUAUUAAAAAAUAAUUUAUAGAAAACUUGGAAUGGAACCAUUUGACCCAGUUAUCCCACUCAUCUGUUUAUACCCAAAGGAUUUAAAAUCAACAUACUACAGUGGCAAGGCCACUUCAAUGUUUAUAGCAGCUCAAUUCACAAUAUCCAAGCUAUGGAAUCACACUAGGUGCCCUGCAAUAGAUGAACGGAUGAAGAAAAUGUGGUAUAUACACACAAUGGAAUAUCACUCAGCCAUAAAAAAGAAUAAAAUUAUGGCAUUUGCCAGUAAAUGGAUAGAACUAGAGAGUAUCUUGCUAAGAGAAAUAAGCCAAUCUCCCAAAACCAAAUGCAGAAUGUUCUCUCUGAUACGUGGAUACUAACUCACAACAGAGGAGGGGAAGAUUAGAAGUUCACUGGACUAGACAAAGGGAAUGAGGGGAAGGGAGGGGGAAUAGGAAUUGAAAAGGCAUUAGAAUAAGUUGGACAUAUCUUUGUUAUCCUUAUAUAUGAAUAAAUGACCAAUGUAAUUAUAUAUCAUAUACAACCAUAAAACAUGAUCCUAAAUGGAACAAGUUAUACUUACUCUAUGUGUGUAUAAUAUAUCAAAAUACACUCUGUCAUGUAUAUCUGGAAAGAACAAAUAAAAAAAGAAAGUAAAAGAAAAUAAUUAAUUUAUAAAUUGUGCAUUAGUUGAAAUGUAUUUUACCAACCAAAUACCAUGUUAAGUGGUAUCUUUUUUGUGCAAAACAGAAUUGUGCUACAUUAAAAAAUAUUGUCCUGGGGAGCCAAAGAAUAAACACAUGAAUGAAGUACUCAUCACUUAUUUAAGCUAACUUUAACAUUAACAGUGCAUGCAUAAUUAAACUCACAGUCAUGAGUUAAAUAAAUAAAUGAUUAGCUUGGGGACAGGAUGGCCACCAUGGGCGAUAUCAUCUCCUUCACUGUUUGUUGGGUAGAGGACAUUAUCUAGUUGCUAUAGUUCAGCUACAUAUGUUUCCUUAGUUGAUGAUGUGUGGAAUAAGUAAUAAUGAUGAUUAAAUAAUGGUAAUACAUGAAUAUAAAUUAAAUUAUUUCAAUGCUUACCAUGAAUCAGCUUCAUUUAAAUCUUGCCAGAUCUUUAUUACAAGGUUACCCAUUAUCACCCUAUUUUACAGGUUGGGAAACUGAGACUUGGAGAGCUUAAAUGACUUGUGAUUCCAGGAGCUGGACAUUGACCCCAGGUCUGUGACUGCAGUGUCAUGGUUCCAAAGCCCUGUACCAUGGCCAGUGUCACAAACAUUUUCAUGAUCACCCACAAGGGGCAUCAGGGUUGUAAUGAUAGACUUUCCCUUUCUUUUUCUUCUAAAUAGUACACAGUAGAGUUCUUAACUCAGAACUUAAUUGAAAUAAAGAGCCAUGUAGUUUGUUUAUCAUCAGUGACAUUUUACUGAUUAUUUUCUUCAUUCAAUGAAUACAAAUGUUUUUUACACUGGUUUCAGCUGUAGCAACUCUGUUAAAAUAUCCAGUUUGUAAACCUGCAAGUUUCUUUAAAAAAGAUGGCACGGACACUCCAGCAUGCCACAGGGCUGUUUUGUAUCCCCACCCGCCCAUGACAUGGGCGUUGGAGGACCCUCAUCCAAGAAGUAGCAGGAGAAGGUGGGGGAUUGGACCAUAUGACGGUUUAUAUUUCUUAAUAAAUCUUUACCACGACACUGGUUA